ensembl:lncRNA
ACAGCCCCGCGGACGACUUCCGGUAGACGCUCAGACAUCAGCCUUCUCGCCACCGCUGGCUCUUAACCAGCUGGGCAUUCCACCACACCACUCCUGUCAUUCAUUAUGAUGUCAUGAGGAUGACUGCCAUCCACAUCAGACCCCACAGACCUGGCAGUCCCCAGGAUCUCUUUAAUAGUUCCAGAGUAUUCUGUAGCUAAAGAUUGGUGUUACAUCUGCUGGGCAAUGUGGAUGACCUCAUCAAAAGUGAUGUUUCCACUGUGCUUACUAUUUUUCUGCUUCUUUCUGUCUUUUGGUUGCUCCUUAGAGGCUCUGAUGAUCAGGAUAGACACAGAAAGUAUCACCUCAAUCUGGGCCUGUCUGUUCUGAACGAUUGGUUUCACUGGAGUCCUCAGACCCUUCCAAUCACCAGCGCCUUUGCAAUGUUAUCACCAACCUCUUUUGGAGACAGACCCAGGGGGCCGAGCUUGGGGGCCAGGACAGACGUGGCACAGACUUCCCCACGGGCGCCCCUCAGGUAUAUAACUAUGUCUCCUUAGUGUCUAACUUAGGCGACAUGGUGAGGCCGCUGGUGUCAGAUAAACCUGGAUUGCAGAGGAUUGAAGAAAACUGCACCUCAGCCUCCUUCCAGCUGAAAUCUGAACUAAAGCCAUUUAAAUUAUUGUUAGUGCUCUAGCAGCUGACACUUUUGUUCUCCAGUCAUCAUAGUCAUUCCCUUUCUCAGCACGCACACAGGCUUCUAAUUUUCCAUGUUUUGUGCAACUGAAGUCAACGCACCACAGUAUGACGUGGAAUUUGUGAGAAGAAAGACUUUCUUAUGU